UACGUAUGGGCCUAGCGUUGUCCGGAAUCAUUGGGCGUAAAGAGCUCGUAGGCGGUUCGGCAAGUCACGUGUGAAAUCUCCACGCUUAACGUGGAGGCGCCACGUGAAACUGCCGUGACUCGAGUCCGGUAGGGGAGUGUGGAAUUCCCGGUGUAGCGGUGAAAUGCGCAGAUAUCGGGAGGAACACCAGUAGCGAAGGCGGCACUCUGGGCCGGUACUGACGCUGAGGAGCGAAAGCGUGGGGAGCGAACAGG
rnacentral:rRNA from 1 species